AGGAGGCACAGCCCCAGUGGCGGGGCAGCUCUGGAAACCUGGAUUCAGCUCCGGGAGGAACUCCGUCUGCAGGGCCUGGAGGCUCCGGGGCGGG
rnacentral:pre_miRNA from 1 species